rnacentral:lncRNA from 1 species
ACACCUACGGGCCGAGAGCUUACCGAUUGGAGACUCUAAAAGGGAAUGCCAUUCUCCAGACCUGGAAUGCUGACAAUCUAAAGUUGUACUACCAGUGAACUCUGUAUCCCCAUGUUCGGAAUACAAGUUUAGUUCCAAAAUUUCGGAGUCUGAAAUCUUGACUCUUCGACUGUAGGUUGGCGCUCGCCAGAAGUACAAGCCCCAACGCCCCGACUUGAGUCCAACGUUCCAUCGGGGACCAACGGCCCGAUCGUCGACGACACAUCGGACGCUUGAGAGGAUCGAUACAUCCACAACGACGAGAUUUAUACUCCUUCUACAGUCAAACUCUCGGGCAAAACGAUCGGCUGACACGCCGAAUCGGCCCCGGCCA